rnacentral:other from 1 species
GAAACCCUGCAGUGCGCGUGCUUGCCUUCAGAAGUUUUGAGCCAACACUCAUAAACUGGGAGCUUAAGCCGGCCGGUUGAGUGGCAGCUUCCCGUCUGCGGGAAGAAUCGCGAAGCGGUCGCAUAGAGCACCCACCUGCUUAGGCGGGUUCAAAAACGGAGAGACACACGGCACAUGCGGGGUUUCU